rnacentral:rRNA from 1 species
UACGAAGGGGGCGAGCGUUGUUCGGAAUCACUGGGCGUAAAGGGCGCGUAGGCGGCCCUCCUUGUCGCGUGUGAAAGCCCCGGGCUCAACCUGGGAACGGCGCGCGAGACGGGGGGGCUGGAGUUCGGGAGAGGAGCGUGGAAUUCCUGGUGUAGCAGUGAAAUGCGUAGAUAUCAGGAGGAAUACCGAUGGCGAAGGCAGGUCUCUGGGCUAUAACUGACGCUCAUGCACGAAAGCGUGGGGAGCAAACAGG